AGUGAACGCUGGCGGUAGGCCUAACACAUGCAAGUCGAACGGCAGCACAGUACGAGCUUGCUCUUACGGGUGGCGAGUGGCGGACGGGUGAGGAAUACAUCGGAAUCUACUUUUUCGUGGGGGUUCACGUAGGGAAACUUACGCUAAUACAGCAUACGAUCUACGGGUGAAAGCAUGGGAUCUUCGGACCUUGCGCGAUUGAAUGAGCCGCUGUGGGAUUAGCUAGUUGGCGGGGUGAAGGCCCAGCAAGGCGACGAUACGUAGCUGGUGUGAGAGGAUGGUCGGCCACACGAGAACUUGAACACGGACCAUGCGCCUAAGGGAGGCAGCAGUGGGGAAUAGUAGACAGUAGGCGGAAACCUGGUCCAAUCAGAGCACGUCGGAGAAAGAGGCGUUCCGGGUGUAAAGCCCUUUUUUUGGGAAAGAAAAGCAGCAGCUUAAUACGCCGCGGGUCUGACGGUACCCAAAGAAUAAGCACCGGCUAACUUCGUG
rnacentral:rRNA from 1 species